UUUUCUUCCCUUCUUCGCUCGCAUCUGCUACCUCCAAGAUUUCCCUUCUUUUUAGUCCCAUUUACAACCUGCAAAACAAAAUUUGUUUUACUUGCAAGAACUUUCUCCCUUCCAAGAACCACCUUUGUUUUCUUGAGAAAAGAAAAAAUUGUACAUUCACUUAUCUAUCAAGCUACAUAAUGGUCCUUCAGAGCAGCUUCACAUGCCAAUUUAAAUUAUAUAAAAAAAUGGAACAAUAAGAAAAGUUGUGCUAUGGAGAAGGGUCUAAAUAUAUACCACGAAACAUGUUGAUUCAUUUACCCCAUGCAUAGGACCAACACAAAGAAUCAGAAGUUGAAAAAAAAUGGCAGCAUACCGCUUAAAAGUCAGCCUGAAACCAACUUCACUACUAUGAUGAUAACAUUGAGAACUAUUAGCAGCACUCUGAGGUACUGGGUGGCAUUGAUAAGCCCUAUGAGCUGCCCCUUCAAUGAUUUUGACCGACCAUUUGCUGAAACUACAGAGAAACUCCAUCCUUU
rnacentral:lncRNA from 1 species